UCAGGUAAGAGACUGAUCAUUAUGUGAUCUGUUCAGGUAAGAGACUGAUCAUUAUGUGAUCUGUUCAGGUAAGAGACUGGUCAUUAUGUGAUCUGUUCAGGGAAGAGACUGGUCAUUACGUGAUCUGUUCAGGGAAGAGACUGGUCAUUACGUGAUCUGUUCAGGGAAGAGACUGGUCAUUACGUGAUCUGUUCAGGGAAGAGACUGAUCAUUAUGUGAUCUGUUCAGGUAAGAGACUGAUCAUUAUGUGAUCUGUUCAGGGAAGAGACUGGUCAUUAUGUGAUCUGUUCAGGGAAGAGACUGGUCAUUACGUGAUCUGUUCAGGGAAGAGACUGGUCAUUAUGUGAUCUGUUCAGGGAAGAGACUGGUCAUUAUGUGAUCUGUUCAGGGAAGAGACUGGUCAUUAUGUGAUCUGUUCAGGGAAGAGACUGGUCAUUAUGUGAUCUGUUCAGGUAAGAGUCUGGUCAUUAUGUGAUCUGUUCAGGUAAGAGUCUGGUCAUUAUGUGAUCUGUUCAGGGAAGAGACUGGUCAUUAUGUGAUCUGUUCAGGUAAGAGACUGGUCAUUACGUGAUCUGUUCAAGGAAGAGACUGGUCAUUAUGUGAUCUGUUCAGGGAAGAGACUUGUAUUAUCCAAGAUUCAUUUGUAGAUUAUUUUGCAUGUAUAACGUUUUAU